UACGGAGGAUGCAAGCGUUAUCCGGAUUUAUUGGGUUUAAAGGGUGCGUAGGCGGCCGAGUAAGUCAGCGGUGAAAUUUUGCAGCUUAACUGUAACAGUGCCGUUGAUACUGCAUGGCUAGGAUUUGGUUGCUGUGGGUGGAAUGUGUGGUGUAGCGGUGAAAUGCUUAGAUAUCACACAGAAUAUCGAUUGCGAAGGCAGCUCACAAAGCCAAGAUUGACGCUGAGGCACGAAAGUGUGGGGAUCAAA
rnacentral:rRNA from 1 species